UGAGGUGAUAUGAACCGUUAUAACCGGCGAUUUCCGAAUGGGGAAACCCAGUGUGUUUCGACACACUAUCAUUAACUGAAUCCAUAGGUUAAUGAGGCGAACCGGGGGAACUGAAACAUCUAAGUACCCCGAGGAAAAGAAAUCAACCGAGAUUCCCCCAGUAGCGGCGAGCGAACGGGGAGGAGCCCAGAGCCUGAAUCAGUGUGUGUGUUAGUGGAAGCGUCUGGAAAGGCGCGCGAUACAGGGUGACAGCCCCGUACACAAAAAUGCACAUAUUGUGAGCUCGAUGAGUAGGGCGGGACACGUGGUAUCCUGUCUGAAUAUGGGGGGACCAUCCUCCAAGGCUAAAUACUCCUGACUGACCGAUAGUGAACCAGUACCGUGAGGGAAAGGCGAAAAGAACCCCGGCGAGGGGAGUGAAAAAGAACCUGAAACCGUGUACGUACAAGCAGUGGGAGCCUCUUAAUGGGGUGACUGCGUACCUUUUGUAUAAUGGGUCAGCGACUUAUAUUCUGUAGCAAGGUUAACCGAAUAGGGGAGCCGAAGGGAAACCGAGUCUUAACUGGGCGUUAAGUUGCAGGGUAUAGACCCGAAACCCGGUGAUCUAGCCAUGGGCAGGUUGAAGGUUGGGUAACACUAACUGGAGGACCGAACCGACUAAUGUUGAAAAAUUAGCGGAUGACUUGUGGCUGGGGGUGAAAGGCCAAUCAAACCGGGAGAUAGCUGGUUCUCCCCGAAAGCUAUUUAGGUAGCGCCUCGUGAAUUCAUCUCCGGGGGUAGAGCACUGUUUCGGCAAGGGGGUCAUCCCGACUUACCAACCCGAUGCAAACUGCGAAUACCGGAGAAUGUUAUCACGGGAGACACACGGCGGGUGCUAACGUCCGUCGUGAAGAGGGAAACAACCCAGACCGCCAGCUAAGGUCCCAAAGUCAUGGUUAAGUGGGAAACGAUGUGGGAAGGCCCAGACAGCCAGGAUGUUGGCUUAGAAGCAGCCAUCAUUUAAAGAAAGCGUAAUAGCUCACUGGUCGAGUCGGCCUGCGCGGAAGAUGUAACGGGGCUAAACCAUGCACCGAAGCUGCGGCAGCGACACUAUGUGUUGUUGGGUAGGGGAGCG
rnacentral:rRNA from 1 species